rnacentral:rRNA from 1 species
GACGAACGCUGGCGGCGUGCCUAAUACAUGCAAGUCGAGCGCAGGAAGCUGACGGAACUCUUCGGAGGGAAGGCAGUGGAAUGAGCGGCGGACGGGUGAGUAACACGUAAGGAACCUGCCUCAAGGAUUGGGAUAACUCCGAGAAAUCGGAGCUAAUACCGGAUAGUUCAACGGACCGCAUGGUCCGCUGAUGAAAGGCGCUCCGGCGUCACCUUGAGAUGGCCUUGCGGUGCAUUAGCUAGUUGGUGGGGUAACGGCCCACCAAGGCGACGAUGCAUAGCCGACCUGAGAGGGUGAUCGGCCACACUGGGACUGAGACACGGCCCAGACUCCUCCGGGAGGCAGCAGUAGGGAAUCUUCCACAAUGGACGAAAGUCUGAUGGAGCAACGCCGCGUGAGUGAUGAAGGUUUUCGGGUCGUAAAACUCUGUUGUAAGGGAAGAACACGUACGAGAGGGAAUGCUCGUACCUUGACGGUACCUUACGAGAAAGCCACGGCUAACUACGUGCCAGCCGCCGCAGUAAGAC